UCUUUUAUCAUUCUAAAAACCCUAAAACAUCUACACACCUCCAGCCGACAUCCCCUUUCACCCCUCUGCUUUCUCUGUCCAAUCAUCGGCGACCGGUGCCGGUUACUGGCCGGCCACAGGGAUCCCGUGCUUGCUAGCAUGUCACCCCACACAACCCCAAGCUCCCUCUUCAUCUUAACCCGUCGCACACACCGCUACCCUGUCCAAAGCGAGAGAGAGAGAGAGAUCGGAGAACAGGAGAGGGGCCGAUCACCUAUUUCACGGCAACAGAAGCAGCAAGUGGCGGCUGCAAUGGAUUCCGACAACCGUUUUUCGGGUAAAACGUACCGGAGGAGCCGGCGACCGACUUACCGGCAGGUUCACCGGUAAAACCCUCUCCCCGUUUCUGUUAUUUUUUUUAAGACUGAUGUUUGGCUGUUGAUGACUGAUGAUGAAGAUGGUGGCAGUGAAGACACCCGACGGCGGUGGUGGCCGCCGCCAGAGCUUCCUUCAAGUUCAAAUUUGGUUCUAGUGCUUAGAUUCAGAUUUCAAAUUUUAUUCGGUACGGCUUCGGGUGUUACGGAUCAGAUUCAGGAACGGUCAACAGUUAACCCGGUCAAAAUCAGCAGUUUCGGGUGUCGUUUCAGCGGGUUGUUCGGGUCUCGUUUCGAGUAGCUUCGUUACAGUUUUCGCUCAGGUCGUGAUACAGUCCAGUUUUGAGUCUUGGUCUACAGUACGGGUCAUAUUUCAGUUCGGGUGCUGGUUUGGUCAACUUCAGUCAACUCCGGAUCAAAGUCAGAUGCUGGUUUGGUUCGAGUUCCGGUCAACUCAGCCUUGGUUCGGGUCAACAACAGUCAACGAAAGACCCGGGCAAAACAAUGGUUUUUUUAACCUCUAUUAGAGUCCCUAACAAAUGGGCAUCACAAAGCAGCAAGAAGGAACACGUAUGACAGAUAUUGUGCUAAAAGGCCUUAAACAGCUGGGCCUGGUCCUUUGAUACGGCAUGUGGUUUUCAAUGGGGAGCUUAAAAAGACAACUACAAGUGUCUUUAAACACAGUCUUUAAUGAGGUGUCUAGUUAGAACAACCGGGUGUCGGAGAAGCUUGCUAUUCUUGAUUGGAGGGCAAAAUUGGAGCACUACUCUUGAUGCGGUUGCUAACACUAAUGUGAGUGGUGGCUACAACAUUAAGACAGGCCCCGGUUGUUCUAUAGAGCUGAUGAAGUUUGACAUGGGUGGUUCAGCAGCGGUGUUAGGCGCUGCAAAAGCCGUUGGUCAAAUUUAACUUUCUGGAGUAGAGUCGUGGUUACAACGUUAAGACGGGGCCCGGUUGUUCUAUAGAUCUGAUGAAGUUUGACAUGGGUGGUUCAGAGGUUAUGGUGCAAGUCAGACGUGUAAGGACUGGAAAACGGGGUGCGGGUCUCAACACUCUCAUCAGUUGCAAUAUUCUGACCUAUCAUGAAAUGAGACGAAACGUUCAAGUUAGAAGGUAAAAGUAUUAAAACAUUUGAUUAGUUAAAAUACCUUGGAAUUUAGAUAUGUUGCUUUCAUUUUUAUCUGCUCCAUUGUAUACUAAUUAAACUUCGAUUUGUAUGGAUUGGUGUUGCCGUUCUUAACAUUGUCUUCGGGUAUUUGCACUUUGCAAGCCAUAAUUCGUUUUGACAAAACACCGCAAAUAAUAUGGAAAGUACAAAAAACAGUGUAACCUUAACUUGCUGGUGAUUUAUUUCAUCAAGGUUGUUCCAUCAUAGCUACCACCCACACAAAGAAAGAGACUUAUUAGAGAACUACUGCUGAGUUUAUUGCAGAUUAGGUUUCUGUAAUUUGCAAAACAUAACACAUGUUAAUGAAGUAAAACCAAUAUUAAUGGAAUUAUGAACAAUUUAACCUUCAUUUGCAGGUCACAUAGGUUCUAGCAUUGGGUGUCUUGUCGAGUGUAGUUCUUGAGUGUCGAUCUUUAGCUCCAUGUUGAGUAUGUUAGACAAAUAAAUCCAUAGCACCCGUAUUAUAUAGGAUCAUAAAUAACUGCUAGUAUGCCCACUACCCACUUUAAAAGGAACGUGAAUUCACUUUUUAGUGAAAACCGCUGGUAACUGCUCAUAACAUCCUAAAAGGCAAUUAAUUUAGUGAAUGUGGAGAUCAUGGGCGCAAAAAAAGUGGUGCAAACCACCUGUUCAGAAAACCGUAAAUAACCGCCAUCACAGCAGUUAUAUUUGUGAGUUUAAAGGGCUGAGAUUUAAUCUCAGCAUGAUCAGACGGAUGAUAUUGAUUUCAAAGUUUCACGUAUUGGUGAAAAAUGAGUUGGGCUUGACUUCUAAAGCUGGGUUGUGGGUCACGCAAAAGAAAAGAAAAACAUGGAAUUGGUGGAGCCCUCGGGAAUUAAUGCAUUCUUAUAACAAUUCUAGUCAGGAAACCCAAGUAACAAAGGUGUGUUAUAAAUACACUUAAGAUAUGGAUUAGGAGUAAAUUAUGUUUUUGGCUUAUAUCAUUUUUACUAUAUUAGCCCAAAAUAUGAUUUUUUAACAACUGUACCUCUGUAGUCUCUAAAACUAACUAUUUUGGCCCCUAUGUCUAACUCCACCCCUAACCCUGGUUAGUUAUUUAUCACAUGCAAGGGUAAUUUUGUAAUUUCCCCUCCCCUUUAAAUCUAAUUUCUAUUUCUAACCCAGAUUUCAAAAACACAUCAUCAUCUUUAUCCUUCCCCUUUUCACUUUCUCAAAACCCUAGCCCCCAUAUUCGCUUUCAAGGAAGAGCUCAGAUAUCAACAUAGAGGAAGAGAAGAGUGAAGUCAGCCGCCGUGAUCCUCCAUCCAGUUUAUCUUAGCCCCCUCUAAAUUCGGCCAAAAAUAGUGGUCUUGGGCCUCUUUUGGAGCCGCAUGGUGACAUCGCACAGCAGCCGCCACCUGCGAUUGCUAACCCUAGUGCCCCUCGCUGAAAUUGUUCUUGUCUCUGGAAGAUUUGAAUCCAAGUGAAGCGAUUUCCAGCAUCAACCCCUCUCUAAUUCAUUCCCCAAAAGUUGUUAAUCAAUCAUUGGGAUUGAGGAGGUUGAAAAUGGUGUUCCGAAAAAGGCUAAGAAUGGCCCCCCUAAGAAGGGCUUCAAGUCUAUCAGGAGCAGGGGUUCUAAUACCUCAUCUGGUGAUGAGGAAUUAGAUGCAAUUCGCAAACUUCAUGUCGCUCAGGAUGCAAAAAUCCAGCAAGAAUUUGAUAAAGCCCAUGGAUUCACGAGAUCCUCUAGAAGCCUUGUCAAUCAAAGGAAACCCCAAUCUGUUUCUGCAGUGCCCCAAUCUCUGGGUUUGACGUGUUCUUGAAGAUGAUGAUUGUUCUUGAAGAUCUGGGUUAGAAGAUGAUGAUGUGCAGGAGAUGGGUUCUUGUUCUUGAAUUUGGGUUUUGUUUUUUGAUUUAUUCAAGUUCAUGAAAAUCUGAAACUGAACUGCUGAUUUAGCUUGUUUUUUUUUAUUUGUUCAGGUUCAUAAAGAUCUGAAACUGAUCUUAAACUUUUGUUUUUUUUUUUUUUUUGUUCAAGUUCAUGAAAUAGAAUUAGAUUUAAAGGGGAGGGGAAAUUACAAAAAUAUAUUUGCAUGUGACAAAUAAUUAACCAGGGUUAGGGGUGGAGUUAGACUUAGGGGCCAAAAUAGUUAGUUAUAGAGACCACAGGGGCACAAUUGUUAAAAAAUCCUAUUUUGGGCUAAUAUAGUAAAAGUGAUAUAACCACAGGGGCCAAA